rnacentral:rRNA from 1 species
GACGGAAGGUGCAAGCGUUGUUCGGAAUCACUGGGCGUAAAGGGUGCGUAGGCGGCUUGGUAAGUUGGGUGUGAAAGCCCCGGGCUCAGCCCGGGAAGGGCACUCGAAACUGCCGAGCUGGAGUGCCGGAGGGGAGAGUGGAAUUCCUGGUGUAGCGGUGAAAUGCGUAGAUAUCAGGAGGAAUACCGGUGGCGAAAGCGACUCUCUGGACGGCAACUGACGCUGAGGCACGAAAGCGUGGGGAGCAAACAGG